AUUUAUAUAGUUUAAAAUAAAACAUUAUAUUUUCAUUAUAAAAUUAGGAAAAUUUCCUUAUAAAUA
rnacentral:tRNA from 1 species